rnacentral:rRNA from 1 species
UACGUAGGGUGCAAGCGUUAUCCGGAAUUAUUGGGCGUAAAGAGCUCGUAGGCGGUUUGUCGCGUCUGCUGUGAAAACUGGAGGCUCAACCUCCAGCCUGCAGUGGGUACGGGCAGACUAGAGUGCGGUAGGGGAGAUUGGAAUUCCUGGUGUAGCGGUGGAAUGCGCAGAUAUCAGGAGGAACACCGGUGGCGAAGGCGGUUCUCUGGGCCUGUACUGACGCUGAGGAGCGAAAGCGUGGGGAGCGAACAGG